CCUACGGGUGACAGCAGUGGGGAAUAUUGCACAAUGGGGGAAACCCUGAUGCAGCGACGCCGCGUGAGUGAAGAAUUAUUUCGGUACGUAAAGCUCUAUCAGCAGGGAAGAAAAUUACGGUACCUGACUAUGAAUCUCCGUCUAACUACGUGCCAGCAGCCGCGGUAAUACGUAGGGGGCCAGCGUUAUCCGGAUUUACUGGGUGUAAAGGGAGCGUAGACGGCAGCGCAAGUCAGAAGUGAAAUCCCAUGGCUUAACCAUGGAACUGCAUUGGAAACUGUGCAGCUGGAGUGCAGGAGAGGUAAGCGGAAGUCGUAGUGUAGCGGUGAAAUGCGUAGAUAUUAGGAGGAACACCAGUGGCGAAGGCGGCUUACUGGACUGUAACUGACGUUGAGGCUCGAAAGCGUGGGGAGCAAACAGGAUUAGAUACCCUUGUAGUC
rnacentral:rRNA from 1 species